rnacentral:rRNA from 1 species
AUUGAACGCUGGCGGCAGGCUUAACACAUGCAAGUCGAGCGGAGAGAGGUAGCUUGCUACUGAUCUUAGCGGCGGACGGGUGAGUAAUGCUUAGGAAUCUGCCUAUUAGUGGGGGACAACAUUUCGAAAGGAAUGCUAAUACCGCAUACGUCCUAAGGGAGAAAGCAGGGGAUCUUCGGACCUUGCGCUAAUAGAUGAGCCUAAGUCGGAUUAGCUAGUUGGUGGGGUAAAGGCCUACCAAGGCGACGAUCUGUAGCGGGUCUGAGAGGAUGGUCCGCCACACUGGGACUGAGACACGGCCCAGACUCCUACGGGAGGCAGCAGUGGGGAAUAUUGGACAAUGGGCGCAAGCCUGAUCCAGCCAUGCCGCGUGUGUGAAGAAGGCCUUAUGGUUGUAAAGCACUUUAAGCGAGGAGGAGGCUACUUUAGAUAAUACCUAGAGAUAGUGGACGUUACUCGCAGAAUAAGCACCGGCUAACUCUGUGCCAGCCGCCGCAGUAA